rnacentral:misc_RNA from 1 species
GAACCGGUUGAAAUUUCCGCGAUUGUGUUGCACAACUGGUUUAGUAACACAUGUGUAAUAGUAGUUACGUGAUUUAAGUCGAAUCGAGAAUUUGUCCAUUUUUGAGUCAUCAUAAAUAUGGGAAAGAAGAAAAAUCAAAGCGUUUUGGGUAAGAGCAUAAUAAAGGAUCGAUUCAAGGCUACCAAUCAGCGCAGAGAUGCAGAUAAUAGUUGGUUACAUACAAGUGACCUGAACGAUGGAUAUGAGUGGGGUCGUCUGAACCUGAACUCCGUCACAGAGCAGAGUCACUUGGAUGAUUUCCUCUUAACAGCUGAGCUAGCCGGCACCGAGUUCACAGCAGAGAGGCAAAACAUCCGAGUGGUUGACCCAGAUGAUUCUGGUCUGCCGUCAGCCGAGGAAACCAAAGCAAUCCGUGAGGCUCAAGAACUCAACAAGAAUCUCCUGUGCAUUCCCAGACGACCAAAGUGGGAUGCCAACACUACCAAAGAAAAGCUUGCCCAAAGGGAGCGAGAAUCCUUCCUGGAAUGGCGUCGUCAGCUGGCAUUGUUGCAAGAGAAGGAUCACGUCGUCAUGACGCCCUUCGAGCGAAACUUGGAAUUUUGGCGUCAGCUGUGGCGCGUCAUUGAGCGCAGUGACAUCAUCGUCCAGAUAGUGGACGCUCGCAACCCCCUGCUGUUCCGCUGUGAAGAUUUGGAGAAGUAUGUCAAAGAGGUUGGCAACGGUAAGGAGAAUAUGGUUUUGAUCAGCAAGGCGGAUCUACUCACGCCACUGCAGAGACAGCAGUGGGCCGACUAUUUCUCCCAACAGGGGCUGAAGGUUGCCUUCUGGUCUGCUGUGCUUGAAACAGAGAGGAUCAAACGAGAGGCCGCAGAAGAGAACGAAGAUGUCGAGAAUGACGAGGAACAGUCCUCCGAAUCGGACCCAGAAGAUACCGACGGUGAUGAAGAUGACGAGAAUCACGGUGUCUCCUCCCAACCUGCGUCUUGCAUUCAAGAUGGCACACCACAGGAUACUAGUGACACAACUGGUGAAAAAUUGCACAGUGCCGACUCGGACAAGACUGAACCUCAAAGUCUCGGACCUGAUGCCGGUGUUGCACAGACAGACCAACAGAACGACCAACUCCAUGCGCCAUCAAACCGAGACGUUUCUCCAAACUCUUCAGAGACAGCUAUCGCACCAACCAGCUUCAAUACUAGUAUUGACCAAAGAACUCACGACGGGCCGGAAACGGAGAUCUCAAAGUAUUCAGAGACAGCCAGUGCGAACCUCCCACAAACGGACGAUAGCAAUAUGCACGAAACUACAGACCCUUCUUCAUCUAGAACUGUACGAUUCGCCGCACCAGACUCUGAAGAUAGUUCGCAAGCCAAUGAAGACGGUUCCAGCACGAGACAGGAGAGGGAUGCAGAAAAUGUGCGUGGCCAUAGAGAUGGGGAGGGGCGUGGCCAGGCCGGGUGUGGCCCAGUGGUGAAUGACAGUAAGCUCCUGACGGGAGAGGAGCUCAUUCAGUUCUUUUACGACCUUCACACGGGGCCCAAAGUUCAAGAGGGGGUCACGACCGUUGGCAUGGUCGGUUAUCCCAAUGUCGGUAAGAGUUCCACCAUUAAUGCCAUCAUGCAACAGAAGAAAGUUCCUGUGUCAGCAACUCCAGGAAGAACAAAACAUUUCCAGACGCUGUUUGUGGAGCCCACCAUGUGCCUGUGUGACUGUCCCGGUCUGGUCAUGCCAUCCAUGGUCUCAUCCAAGGCAGAGAUGAUCGUCAAUGGCGUCCUGUGCAUCGACCAUCUCAGGGACUUCAUGCCUCCUACCUCACUCUUGUGUCAGCGGAUCCCGAGACACAUCCUAAACAGCAUCUACGGCAUCAACAUCAUCAAGCCGCGUGAUGGGGAAGAUGCUAACAGGAUCCCCACGGCAAGGGAGUUCCUAAAUGCCUACGCCUAUAUGCGAGGCUUCAUGACCCACCAUGGUAUCCCAGACUGCCCUAGAGCAGCAAGAGUCGUCCUGAAAGACUACGUGAAGGGCAAACUGCUGUACAGCCACCCCCCACCAGGGAUCGAUCCCGUCGAGUUUCAGGACUUCUCCCAGAUGGAUGUGAGUCGCGGUGGUGGCGACACGGCGAGGAAGCAGCGGGAAGCCUCGGGGCCUGUCAUCACCGACGAAGGAACCAAACUGAAGAAGCAACCCACGUCAAGCAAGAUAGACGAGGCCUUCUUUGCACAGAAGACCGUAGCGUCGCACACCAAGGGAGCCAUCGGCCCCAGGGGCGGCACCAGCGGGGUCAGAGGCCAAGAGUCAUCCCCGCAGCAGCUGUCGGCCAGCCAGCAGCGCUUGGCGGACAAGCCCUGGAAGAAGCACGGCAACCGCAACAAGCGGGAGAAACUGCGGAGGGUGUACGGUCACCACGACGAGUAGGUAGCUGGCGUGCUCCUUCGGAAAUGUUUCUGACCCAACCAAACGAGAUGGGUCCCUUAAAGGGAAUAUACAUCAUUUGCUUUUGCUG